rnacentral:rRNA from 1 species
CCUACGGGAGGCAGCAGUGGGGAAUAUUGGACAAUGGGCGAAAGCCUGAUCCAGCAAUGCCGCGUGAGUGAUGAAGGCCUUAGGGUUGUAAAGCUCUUUUACCAGGGAUGAUAAUGACAGUACCUGGAGAAUAAGCUCCGGCUAACUCCGUGCCAGCAGCCGCGGUAAUACGGAGGGAGCUAGCGUUGUUCGGAAUUACUGGGCGUAAAGAGUACGUAGGCGGUUAUUCAAGUCAGAGGUGAAAGCCCGGGGCUCAACCCCGGAACUGCCUUUGAAACUAGAUAGCUAGAAUCUUGGAGAGGUCAGUGGAAUUCCGAGUGUAGAGGUGAAAUUCGUAGAUAUUCGGAAGAACACCAGUGGCGAAGGCGACUGACUGGACAAGUAUUGACGCUGAGGUACGAAAGCGUGGGGAGCAAACAGGAUUAGAUACCCUGGUAAGUCCACGCCGUAAACGAUGAUAACUAGUUGUUCGGGCACUUGGUGCCUAGAGUGACGCAGCUAACGCAUUAAGUUAUCCGCCUGGGGAAUACGGUCGCAAGAUUAAAACUCAAAUNAUAGAGCGNGAGACGNGCGACGACGACACGAGGAGAG